rnacentral:rRNA from 1 species
UACGGGGGGGGCAAGCGUUGUUCGGAAUUACUGGGCGUAAAGGGCGCGUAGGCGGCCUGCUAAGUCGGACGUGAAAUCCCUCGGCUCAACCGAGGAACUGCGUCUGAUACUGGAUGGCUUGAGUUCGGGAGAGGGAUGCGGAAUUCCAGGUGUAGCGGUGAAAUGCGUAGAUAUCUGGAGGAACACCGGUGGCGAAGGCGGCAUCCUGGACCGAUACUGACGCUGAGGAGCGAAAGCCAGGGGAGCAAACGGG